UACAGAGGGUGCGAGCGUUGUUCGGAAUUAUUGGGCGUAAAGGGCGCGUAGGCGGCGCCACAAGUCACUUGUGAAAACUCAGGGCUCAACCCUGAAACUGCACUCGAUACUGCUCUGCUUGAGGACUGGAGAGGAGACUGGAAUUCACGGUGUAGCAGUGAAAUGCGUAGAGAUCGUGAGGAAGACCAGUGGCGAAGGCGGGUCUCUGGACAGUUCCUGACGCUGAGGCGCGAAGGCCAGGGGAGCAAACGGG
rnacentral:rRNA from 1 species